rnacentral:lncRNA from 1 species
GUGGUGGUGUAUGUGUAUGUCGGUGUGGGGGGAGCGGAGGUGCCUCGCUGGGAAGAUUGCCCUCACCAGGUUGGCAGGGAAAGAUUUUUGGUGUUUCCGUGCAUCCCUCAGAGGGUCCCAGUGGUCCCCGGGGAGCACAAGGAGUUGUGAAAAGUAACGCACAACUGGCCACCAGAAUAAUUCAUUCCCUCCACCUUCUGUUUAGCACCUCCCACUCCUCCUCUCUUUGGAGCCGUCCUUUCUCUCUGAAAUCUCAGGUUACUUGACUGGGAGUUCUCAGACCUCCAGUUUCAGUCCUGCCCUCAGCCUCCGGUCGGUGAGAGACACCCAGCCCCAGCAAUUGGAUUGGGCAGCCGGUCUUGACACACCACUGUGCUGAGUGCUUGAGGACGUGUUGCACCAGAUGGUUGGGGUUAGUGUGUGUCAUCACAUUCGAGUGGGGAUUAGGAGCAGGAAGGCUGCCUUGCUGGAGCUGUGUGGUCUUCUCCAAGGGAGAGUUGCGGGCAAGGAAACUACUUUGCUUUUGGGAGAAGAGGAGGAAUUCAUUUUCUGCAGCCACAAGAAAGGCAGUUUUUUCAGACUUGCCCUCCUACGCCCACGUUCACAUACCCGUGGUGCUCAAGAUUUCUUACUCCUACUGGACUCUCACAUUUGGUAGAGAAACCCAACACUGUCCUUACCCUUUGCAGGUGAGAAAUUCGAUGAAUAAAACUGUAUAGCAGCUAUUCUGAAAUAGGAGCUGUUUAAUAGGCUGAACAACAGGAUUUAUGGCUAGAGCUUUGUGAUUUUUCUGUUCAACGGCAUAAAGAUGCCUGUAAAAUUAUGUUUCCACUUGUAGUAUACAUUUUUUUCUUGCAUCCUGCCAGUUGAUAUUUUUUUCAUCUUGUCUUUAAAAAGUUACGAUUGAAAAAAUAUUUCAGCAUGGUGUUCAGUUGUGAUUCAAUUCACGGUGUUCUCUGGUUCUGGUCCUGAAGCCCUCAAUGAGAAAGUCUCCUCAUAUAUAAGCAGGCAGUUAUUAUGACCGAGUACGAUCCGAUUCCCAAUAUUACAUAACCGAAAUAGGACUAAGUUCAUAAACUGAAGUCUUCUGGAAUUCCAGUCAUUCCAUUAUGGCUCUACAAUGGAACCGGGGCUUAAAAAACAGAAAGACAGAAAGGCAAACUCGUAUCUCAUAUCUCGGGUGCCCUUAGGAUUAGGACUCCAAGCACAUCAGGUAACAGGUAUGGGGCUGACCACCCACGGCACGUUUCACUAGCACAGAAGUAUUUUCUAAGAAAGUAAAGUUUCUCCUCGCACGACGGAGGUGUGGUGUGGGCAGCUAACAAAGGCAAGUUCCGUUUAGCCGUGGGAGCCCCGCAGCAGAUGUCAUUCUUGUUCCAGACUGACCACCAGGCUCCUUGCCCAGGAUUUUGACAAUCUGGGAGCAUUCCGCACCCCCCACCCCCGCAAAAGUCCAUUGCAUGCAGGA